rnacentral:rRNA from 1 species
UACGUAUGGUGCGAACGUUGUUCGGAAUCACUGGGCAUAAAGAGCACGUAGGCGGUUGAGCAAGUCCAUUGUGAAAUCCCCCGGCUUAACCGGGGAACUGCAGUGGAUACUACUUGACUUGAGUGCAGGAGGGGAGAGUGGAAUUCCAGGUGGAGCGGUGAAAUGCGUAGAUAUCUGGAGGAACGCCGGCGGCGAAAGCGACUCUCUGGCCUGUAACUGACGCUGAGGUGCGAAAGCUAGGGGAGCAAACGGG